rnacentral:rRNA from 1 species
CCUACGGGAGGCAGCAGUGGGGGAUAUUGCACAAUGGGGGAAACCCUGAUGCAGCGACGCCGCGUGAGUGAAGACGGCCUUCGGGUUGUAAAGCUCUGUCAAUCGGGACGAAGAAGAUGACGGUACCGAUGAAGGAAGCUCCGGCUAACUACGUGCCAGCAGCCGCGGUAAUACGUAGGGAGCAAGCGUUGUCCGGAAUUACUGGGUGUAAAGGGAGCGUAGGCGGGAAUGCAAGUUGGAAGUGAAAGGUAUGGGCUCAACCCAUGAACUGCUUUCAAAACUGUAUUUCUUGAGUGAAGUAGAGG